GAUGAACGCUGGCGGCGUGCCUAAUACAUGCAAGUCGAGCGAACAGACGAGGAGCUUGCUCCUCUGACGUUAGCGGCGGACAGGUGAGUAACACGUGGAUAACCUACCUAUAAGACUGGGAUAACUUCGGGAAACCGGGGCUAAUACCGGAUAAUAUAUUGAACCGCAUGGUUCAAUAGUGAAAGACGGUUUUGCUGUCACUUAUAGAUGGAUCCGCGCCGCAUUAGCUAGUUGGUAAGGUAACGGCUUACCAAGGCAACGAUGCGUAGCCGACCUGAGAGGGUGAUCGGCCACACUGGAACUGAGACACGGUCCAGACUCCUACGGGAGGCAGCAGUAGGGAAUCUUCCGCAAUGGGCGAAAGCCUGACGGAGCAACGCCGCGUGAGUGAUGAAGGUCUUCGGAUCGUAAAACUCUGUUAUUAGGGAAGAACAAAUGUGUAAGUAACUAUGCACGUCUUGACGGUACCUAAUCAGAAAGCCACGGCUAACUACGUG
rnacentral:rRNA from 1 species